UACGUAGGUGGCAAGCGUUGUCCGGAAUUAUUGGGCGUAAAGCGCGCGCAGGUGGUUUCUUAAGUCUGAUGUGAAAGCCCACGGCUCAACCGUGGAGGGUCAUUGGAAACUGGGGAACUUGAGUGCAGGAGAGAAGAGUGGAAUUCCACGUGUAGCGGUGAAAUGCGUAGAGAUGUGGAGGAACACCAGUGGCGAAGGCGACUCUUUGGCCUGUAACUGACACUGAGGCGCGAAAGCGUGGGGAGCAACAGGAUAGAAACCUUGUAG
rnacentral:rRNA from 1 species